UUUUUUAAAAAAAAAUUAGGCCAAGCAUGUCGUGGGGCGACAUGAAUUUUCCCUAAAAGUAAACCACCGAGCCCGCCCUUUUUCCCCUCCUAUUUUCUGAAAUUUUUCUUCUUUCCCCUCCUCCGUUUCCUGCUACUCCGCCCUUUGUUCCCAUAGAAACUAUUUUGCUAGCUUUGAAAUCUCCAUAGAUACCUCUUGCCACUAUCAGUGUUCUGGUCACCAUUGUUCUUUCUCUCUGUCUUGGUUUGAAGCUCCGCCACCAACCGUUGCCCUCUCGCCAUGAGCUCCGCCUACAGCUCCCCCUUUGAUCAAUCGAACUCAAAACAAAUUCUUAGAUAGUUUUAAUUGGGUUUGAUCUUUGGAGCAUCUAUUGUAGCUAUAUAGAAGAAGAGGAGAUCAGGUAUUGAUUACAUUCUUCGGGUUGUAGAUCCAAUUAACAAGGAUUGAGCGUUGGAAAAUUAAUUAGCUAGCUUGAUCACCUUUUAAAUUGAAGGAGAUGUUUUCAUAUGAUCCUUGAAUGGGCAGCAGUACCUCAAGAAAAGAAAAGAAAAGACAAAUAUGGGAGAUAACAAAGGAAACAUUUGGGUUAGACCUUACACACAAAAAAUGAUUGUUGUCUAAAGCAGCUAGGCGAUUUAGAAGUUGGAGAACUUAUCUAACCAAAAGAUUCAUUGUCAACCAAAUGGAAAAAUUUCCAAAUGAGUUCCCUCCUCGAAGACCUAGAGGAUAUGGGUCUAUUAUCUCCCUAAAAGUUUGGCUUGAUUUUGUUAAUAAGAGAUUGAGUAAUGAUUGGAAAAUUAUAAGAGAGAAGAUGCAAGCUUUACGAGCAAAGAAUGAAUACAACCACAAACUCUCUAGAGGAGGAUAUCGGCGUGCUCAAGAGGUUCUUGGGAACCAAGCGUUUGAAUUAGAUAGGGCUGAUUUGUGGGCAUUAGCUAGGAAGAACAAGAAAGGAGAGCUUGUUGGGGGUGCAACAGAGAUACAAAAGAGAAUUGAUCAUUACCGACAGCUCCAAAAGAAGGUAAAUGGGAGCCUAACGGCCUCAAUGGUGUGCUGACAAUGGCGUUGGGCACCCCUGAGGCUCGAGGGCGUGUUCGUGGUUUAGGUCUAGGUGUGACUCCCACACAAUUCUUUGACACUCUGAGGCCAAUGUCAAGGAAAACGAAAGAGAACCAAAAAGAUGAUUUCGAGCAACGUCUUCGCGAUCAAAAAGAACGCCUUAAUUGUCAACAAGAAGAAAAAUAUCAUGAAAUGGAUGAACGAUAUCGUAAACAAGAAGAACUUAUUAACAAGUUGAUUGAAGCCAACAAAGCCCAACAAAGUUGGCAUGGAUCUUGUUCGAAUUCAUCGAGAGUACCAUUUGAGGGGACUUACGUACCAGACCCACCACAAUCUACUACUCACGAGGUAGCAAGAGGGGACUUUAACGUAUCAAACCCACCUACACAACCUCCUAUGGAUGGGGUAGCAGGAGUGGACUUUUAUGUACCUGACCCACCUCUACAAGAACCACCUUGCUAUGAAACGCAUUUUAUACUGAUGGUUUAAGAUCCAAAGGAAAAUCAAAGCAAUCAUUAGGACCUGAAGCCCAACAACGAAGAGAACAUUGAAGACGUCCACAAGAACCUCUGACACAAGAGGUUCAACAAGAGCUUCAGUUACGACCUUACUUGAGAGAGAUUUAAAAUAUAGUAUCAAAGUGGCUGGACGGUGAGUGUGUAAAUGCAUGUAUUGACUAUGAUGUAUUCGCUAUGGAUAUGUCAGGCUUGUAUAUAUUGAAGAACGACAUACUUGAGUUCGUCAGAGGUGAAAAAAUUGGUCAAACUAUUAUAGUCUCCUACAUUAGGUAUCAUUGUACAAAUUUAGUUUAUUUAACUUUAUUUAUUAGACUAAUAAGUCUAGCUAAUUAUGUUUUCAUAUACUUUUGUUAGGACACUCUACAAAUGGCUCUUAGACCAUCACAAGCAGCAUAUGUUUCUAUUUGUCAAUCCUAAUGUCGUAGACACUUGAACAACUUGAGAAAUUGAUCAUGUUGAUCGUUUGUUUAAGCAAUUCGCUAGGUUAUGUUCAAAAAAACAGUUCAUGAUUACUCCU